GAUCAUGGCUCAGGAUGAACGCUAGCGACAGGCUUAACACAUGCAAGUCGAGGGGCAGCAUGAACUUAGCUUGCUAAGUUUGAUGGCGACCGGCGCACUGGUGAGUAACGCGUAUGCAACAUACCUAUCAGAGGAGAAUAGCUCAUCGAAAGAUGAAUUAAUGCUCCAUAAAACAGGGGUCCCGCAUGGGGAUAUUUGUUAAAGAUUCAUCGCUGAUAG
rnacentral:rRNA from 1 species